UGAAUGUGUCUUGAGUGUUACUCCAUUUGC
rnacentral:sRNA from 1 species